GACGAACGCUGGCGGCGUGCUUAACACAUGCAAGUCGAACGGAAAGGCCCUGCUUUUGUGGGGUGCUCGAGUGGCGAACGGGUGAGUAACACGUGAGUAACCUGCCCUUGACUUUGGGAUAACUUCAGGAAACUGGGGCUAAUACCGGAUAGCAGCUCCCGCUGCAUGGUGGGGGUUGGAAAGUUUCGGCGGUCGGGGAUGGACUCGCGGCUUAUCAGCUUGCUGGUGGGGUAGUGGCUUACCAAGGCUUUGACGGGUAGCCGGCCUGAGAGGGUGACCGGCGACCAUGGGACUGAGGUACGGCCCAGACUCGUACGUGAGGCAGCGGUGGGGAAUAUUGCACAAUGGGCGGGAGCCUGAGGCAGCAACGCCGCGUGCGGGAUGACGGCCUUCGGGUUGUAAACCGCUUUCGCCUGUGACGACGCGUGAGUGACGGUAAUGGGUAAAGAAGCACCGGCUAACUACGUG
rnacentral:rRNA from 1 species